ACACUGGUGGUUCAGGGGUAGAAUCCUCGCCUUCCAUGCAGGAGACCCAGGUUAGAUUCCUGGCCAAUGCA
rnacentral:tRNA from 1 species